GGUCCGUGCAAAGACCAUGACUGCAAGGUCAAUGAAGUGUGUAGUCCACAAAGUCCGACUUACACAUGCGUUCCAUUGCUAGUAGUCUUUGCUGAAAGGAGAACCAGAGAAGGAUGUCUUGUGUCUCAAUUCAAGGAAACUGGCCAGAGCACUCCAUAUGACUGUACAAAAGAGUACGUAUGCGAAGCUGGAGCAGGGGUUGACGGAAUUAAAGAACUUAAAAACAUGUUUCAUACAGAUAGUGAACGCGAACCUUUCUGGUGGGUCAAUCUCGGACAUGUGUACAAGAUACAGAAGGUGGUCAGUACAAAUCGGAUAGAUGCAUAUGGUGGUCGGCUCACAAAAAUGCUCAUUCAUGUCGGCACGAGCUUAGAUACAUCUCAAAUGGAACUAUGUGGUCAGUUCAUUGGUCCAGCCGUUAGAGGACAGGUCAUAGUUACACCGUGCAACACACUAUCGGAAGGACACAUAGUUAAAUUAACGAGUGUAAAUACCA